GACGAACGCUGGCGGCGUGCUUAACACAUGCAAGUCGAACGGAAAGGCCCUGCUUUUGUGGGGUGCUCGAGUGGCGAACGGGUGAGUAACACGUGAGUAACCUGCCCUUGACUUUGGGAUAACUUCAGGAAACUGGGGCUAAUACCGGAUAGGAGCCCCUGCUGCAUGGUGGGGGUUGGAAAGUCUCGGCGGUUGGGGAUGGACUCGCGGCUUAUCAGCUUGUUGGUGGGGUAGUGGCUUACCAAGGCUUUGACGGGUAGCCGGCCUGGGAGGGUGACCGGCCACAUUGGGACUGAGAUACGGCCCAGACUCCUACGGGAGGCAGCAGGGGGGAAUAUUGCACAAUGGGCGGAAGCCUGAUGAAGCAACGCCGCGGGCGGGAUGACGGCCUUCGGGUUGUAAACCGCUUUCGCCUGUGACGAAGCGUGAGUGACGGUAAUGGGUAAAGAAGCACCGGCUAACUACGUG
rnacentral:rRNA from 1 species